rnacentral:snRNA from 1 species
UCCGGAGACGUCGGCGGGGGC